UCGCGCAUGGGGGGGUUCACAAUUCCCUGCCCUGAUUCCCUUGGGUACAUUCGCC
rnacentral:tRNA from 1 species